GAUGAGCGCUGGCGGCGUGCCUAAUACAUGCAAGUCGAGCGAACAGACGAGGAGCUUGCUCCUCUGACGUUAGCGGCGGACGGGUGAGUAACACGUGGAUAACCUACCUAUAAGACUGGGAUAACUUCGGGAAACCGGAGCUAAUACCGGAUAAUAUAUUGAACCGCAUGGUUCAAUAGUGAACGACGGUUUUGCUGUCACUUAUAGAUGGAUCCGCGCCGCAUUAGCUAGUUGGUAAGGUAACGGCUUACCAAGGCAACGAUGCGUAGCCGACCUGAGAGGGUGAUCGGCCACACUGGAACGGAGCCACGGUCCAGACUCCUACGGGAGGCAGCAGUAGGGAAUCUUCCGCAAUGGGCGAAAGCCUGACGGAGCAACGCCGCGUGAGUGAUGAAGGUCUUCGGAUCGUAAAACUCUGUUAUUAGGGAAGAACAAAUGUGUAAGUAACUAUGCACGUCUUGACGGUACCUAAUCAGAAAGCCACGGCUAACUACGUG
rnacentral:rRNA from 1 species